rnacentral:rRNA from 1 species
CACGUAGGGUGCGAGCGUUAAUCGGAAUUACUGGGCGUAAAGCGUGCGCAGGCGGUUUCGCAAGUCGGGUGUGAAAGCCCCGGGCUUAACCUGGGAAUGGCAUUUGAAACUACGAGACUGGAGUGCGGCAGAGGGAGGUGGAAUUCCACGUGUAGCGGUGAAAUGCGUAGAGAUGUGGAGGAACACCGAUGGCGAAGGCAGCCUCCUGGGCCAGCACUGACGCUCAUGCACGAAAGCGUGGGGAGCAAACAGG